UCUAUGGGCAGCUGCCACCACUACCAGAGUCUUCCUUGCAAUGCGAGCUUCUUGCAUCAUGACUUCUAGAUUCCAAGUAUGCAAAGCAAACGCUCGUACCCUGACUCCAUCUGGGAUUUGGAAUGCACUCAGGGAAGUGGCUGUGCAUGGAGACUAGAAAUGGAAGAGGCUUCCAAGGUCAUGCCUUUCAGGCUCCCUUCAAAUUCUACAGCUACUGUGAAGAGAGUUGCAUUCCCACAGAGAACAUGUCAGACUGGAGGAAAAUUGUGACAAAAGGUCUCCCCAAAGAUCGAGGAAAGGAGGUUUGCCUGAAAAGGAGCCAGAGUGGUUCCGCCCAGACUGACGUGCUUCUGGCAGCCGAUGGCAAAUGCCCAAGAGCGCAAACCGGACCAUGCAAGUGCCAUGAAGCCUC
rnacentral:lncRNA from 1 species